GAUGAAGAACGCAGCGAAAUGCGAUACGUAGUGUGAAUUGCAGAAUUCAGUGAAUCAUCGAAUCUUUGGACGCACAUUGCACCUCUCGGUAUUCCGGGAGGUAUGCCUGUUCGAGCGUCAUUUGUACCCUCAAGCUCUGCUUGGUGUUGGGUGUUUGUUCCGCCUCUGUGUGUGAACUCGCCUCAAAACAAUUGGCAGCCGGCGUACUUGUUUCGGAGCGCAGCACAUUUUGCGAUCCAGAUCAACGUACAGCGGCAUCCAAGAAGCCUUAUUUAACGCUCUUGACCUCGGAUCAGGUAGGGAUACCCGCUGAACUUAAGCAUAUCAAUAAGCGGAGGA
rnacentral:misc_RNA from 1 species